UUCUGCAACCGUUCAGGCAAUUUCUUUCAUGAACCAAUCAGAUCGUUUGCUUUUAUGACGUUUCAAUUUUAUGUGAUGACGUAUACAAAUGUAAAUAAAAAUGGCGGCGACGUUGGUGAAGAGGAUGAUCGGAUGAAAUUUUUUUAUAGACGAAACGGAACAGUUUUUUAGUUUAAUAAUAACAUUUUCUUUAAAAUCAAAGCAUUAAAAAUACUUUCACACGAUGAAAUAACCAUCUCAAUGCAGUUGAUGUACUACCAUAACAGGAACCUGCACAUCAUUUUAGUAUCGAUAUUUCGUAUAAUCCUGUAAGGUUUGUCUGGUGAAGAAGGAAAGAGAUGCAAUACUGUUUUUAUGAAAGAAAUUAAAAAAUAAGAAAUGAAAAUGAAUAAUGUUCUAAAUGUUUCACUUGACAAUAAAUGUUUUGUUUUUUAAA